GGCUCCUUCGUCUAAUGGUUAGGACGCUGGCCUCUCACGCCUGCAAUACGAGUUCGAAUCUCGUAGGAGUCACCA
rnacentral:tRNA from 3 species